GGUGAACGCUGGCGGUAGGCCUAACACAUGCAAGUCGAACGGCAGCACAGUAAGAGCUUGCUCUUACGGGUGGCGAGUGGCGGACGGGUGAGGAAUACAUCGGAAUCUACUUUUUCGUGGGGGAUAACGUAGGGAAACUUACGCUAAUACCGCAUACGACCUACGGGUGAAAGCAGGGGAUCUUCGGACCUUGCGCGAUUGAAUGAGCCGAUGUCGGAUUAGCUAGUUGGCGGGGUAAAGGCCCACCAAGGCGACGAUCCGUGGCUGGUCUGAGAGGAUGAUCAGCCACACUGGAACUGAGACACGGUCCAGACUCCUACGGGAGGCAGCAGUGGGGAAUAUUGGACAAUGGGCGCAAGCCUGAUCCAGCCAUACCGCGUGGGUGAAGAAGGCCUUCGGGUUGUAAAGCCCUUUUGUUGGGAAAGAAAAGCAGCAGGUUAAUACCCCGCUGUUCUGACGGUACCCAAAGAAUAAGCACCGGCUAACUUCGUG
rnacentral:rRNA from 1 species